rnacentral:tmRNA from 1 species
GGGGCCGUUACGGAUUCGACAGGCAUAGUUUGAGCUUGAAUUGCGUUUCGUAGGUUACGUCUACGUUAAAACGUUACAGUUAAAUAUAACUGCUAAAAACGAAAACACUUACGCUUUAGCUGCCUAAAAACCAGCUAGCGUGAUCGCCCCGGUAUCGCCCAUGUACUCGGGUAGCGGUCUAAUCUCAGUGGGAUACGAUAAACUUUUCCGUCUGCAAAGUUUGUAAGAGUUCAUCAGACUAGCAAAUAGAGACGCCUGUUGUGCGGCAGCUCUAGGAGCAAAAUUUUAAUAGUACAACUAUGAGCGUAGAUAUUGAAGUGGCAAUGUGUUUGGACGCGAGUUCGACUCUCGCCGGUUCCAUAU